AGGCUGCAACUCGCCUGCAUGAAGUCGGAAUUGCUAGUAAUCGCAGAUCAGCAUGCUGCGGUGAAUACGUUCCCGGGCCUUGUACACACCGCCCGUCACACCAUGGGAGUCGGUAACACCCGAAGUCGGUAGCCUAACCGUAAGGAGGGCGGCCGCCGAAGGUGGGAUUGAUGACUGGGGUGAAGUCGUAACAAGGUACC
rnacentral:rRNA from 1 species